rnacentral:rRNA from 1 species
CUAUCGCUUUUAGAUGGACCCGCGGCGUAUUAACUAGUUGGUGGGGUAACGGCCUACCAAGGUGAUGAUACGUAGCCGAACUGAGAGGUUGAUCGGCCACAUUGGGACUGAGACACGGCCCAAACUCCUACGGGAGGCAGCAGUAGGGAAUCUUCCACAAUGGACGCAAGUCUGAUGGAGCAACGCCGCGUGAGUGAAGAAGGUCUUCGGAUCGUAAACUCUGUUGUUAGAGAAGAACACGAGUGAGAGUAACUGUUCAUUCGAUGACGGUAUCUAACCAGCAAGUCACGGCUAACUACGUGCC